AUUGAACGCUGGCGGCAUGCCUUACACAUGCAAGUCGAACGGCAGCACGGGAGCUUGCUCCUGGCGGCGAGUGGCGAACGGGUGAGUAAUACAUCGGAACGUACCCUGAAGUGGGGGAUAACGUAGCGAAAGUUACGCUAAUACCGCAUAUUCUGUGAGCAGGAAAGAGGGGGAUCGCAAGACCUUGCGCUCUGGGAGCGGCCGAUGUCGGAUUAGCUAGUUGGUGGGGUAAAGGCCUACCAAGGCGACGAUCCGUAGCGGGUCUGAGAGGAUGAUCCGCCACACUGGGACUGAGACACGGCCCAGACUCCUACGGGAGGCAGCAGUGGGGAAUUUUGGACAAUGGGCGAAAGCCUGAUCCAGCCAUGCCGCGUGAGUGAAGAAGGCCU
rnacentral:rRNA from 1 species